UGAAUGAGGUGGUCAGGGUGAAUGAGGUGGCCAGGGUGAAUGAGGUGGCCAGGGUGAAUGAGGUGGUCAAGGCGAAUGAGGUGGCCAGGCCAGGGUGAAUGAGGUGGUCAGGGUGAAUGAGGUGGUCAGGCCAGGGUGAAUGAGGUGGCCAGGCCAGGGUGAAUGAGGUGGCCAGGGUGAAUGAGGUGG